AUUGAACGCUGGCGGCAUGCCUUACACAUGCAAGUCGAACGGUAACGCGGGGCAACCUGGCGACGAGUGGCGAACGGGUGAGUAAUGUAUCGGAACGUGCCCAGUUGUGGGGGAUAACUGCUCGAAAGAGCAGCUAAUACCGCAUACGACCUGAGGGUGAAAGCGGGGGAUCGCAAGACCUCGCGCAAUUGGAGCGGCCGAUAUCAGAUUAGGUAGUUGGUGAGGUAAAGGCUCACCAAGCCGACGAUCUGUAGCUGGUCUGAGAGGACGACCGGCCACACUGGGCCUGAGACACGGCCCAGACUCCUACGGGAGGCAGCAGUGGGGAAUUUUGGACAAUGGACGCAAGUCUGAUCCAGCCAUGCCGCGUGCGGGAAGAAGGCCUUCGGGUUGUAAACCGCUUUUGUCAGGGAAGAAACGCUCUGGGUUAAUACCUCGGGGUAAUGACGGUACCUGAAGAAUAAGCACCGGCUAACUACGUGCCAGCCGCCGCCGUAACAC
rnacentral:rRNA from 1 species